UACAGAGGGUGCAAGCGUUAAUCGGAAUUACUGGGCGUAAAGCGUGCGUAGACGGUAACGUAAGUCGGGUGUGAAAGCCCCGGGCUCAACCUGGGAAUUGCAUUCGAGACUGCUCUGCUAGGGUGCGGAAGAGGGGAGCGGAAUUUCCGGUGUAGCGGUGAAAUGCGUAGAUAUCGGAAGGAACACCAGUGGCGAAAGCGGCUCCCUGGUCCAGCACCGACGUUCAGGCACGAAAGCUAGGGGAGCGAAUGGG
rnacentral:rRNA from 1 species